GAUGAACGCUGGCGGCGUGCCUAAUACAUGCAAGUCGAGCGAACAGAUAAGGAGCUUGCUCCUUUGACGUUAGCGGCGGACGGGUGAGUAACACGUGGAUAACCUACCUAUAAGACUGGGAUAACUUCGGGAAACCGGAGCUAAUACCGGAUAACAUAUUGAACCGCAUGGUUCAAUAGUGAAAGGCGGCUUUGCUGUCACUUAUAGAUGGAUCCGCGCCGUAUUAGCUAGUUGGAAAGGUAACGGCUUACCAAGGCAACGAUACGUAGCCGACCUGAGAGGGUGAUCGGCCACACUGGAACUGAGACACGGUCCAGACUCCUACGGGAGGCAGCAGUAGGGAAUCUUCCGCAAUGGGCGAAAGCCUGACGGAGCAACGCCGCGUGAGUGAUGAAGGUCUUCGGAUCGUAAAACUCUGUUAUCAGGGAAGAACAAAUGUGUAAGUAACUGUGCACAUCUUGACGGUACCUGAUCAGAAAGCCACGGCUAACUACGUG
rnacentral:rRNA from 1 species